rnacentral:sRNA from 1 species
UGCCGCCGCCCAUUCUGGGUGUUCCUCCCGAGACUUGACCGCGCUGCCCCCGGCAGUGCGGUUCUUUUUUGCCGGG